UAUCCUUUUCCAUUUACAAUCCUUUCCUUCUUCCUUUUUUGUUAUCUUUCCCAUUUCCUUGUCCGUUUACUUCUACUUUCUCUUCCUCAUACCUUUCCUUUUCCUUUCAGAUUGCCACAGAAUCAAUAAAAUAUUCAUUUAUGAGCACCAGUUAUAUAAUAGAGCAAAACAAACAUCUGCCUUUAACAUGUUUUUCAGUUGUUUAGCUCUUUCUCUCAAUGUUUAGCAGGGCUCGGCCUCUCCUGAUCCUCACUGAUAUGAAAUUGCAGCCCUCAGUGUCUCAGACAGUGAUGAGGACAGUUUGAUAGAGCUUCCUUCAUCGCUCCGACAGGAUAUCAAAAAGUCAUUUGGGUGGCCUCAAUUAUUAUCUAGAAGGACUCUUCUCACCAUCUCUUUGCAGACUGGUUGUGUUUCCACCUCCAGGGGGUAUAACCAUCUCAGAGGAGGACCUCGGCUGUCUUGAGGAAGGAGAAUUCCUAAAUGAUGUGAUCAUAGACUUCUAAGGUAUUUGGUCCAGAGCGCCGGUACAAUCGGGUUAAAACAUGGACCAGGAGUGAAAAUCUUUUUGACAAGGACUUUAUAUUUGUCCCGAUUAUUCAAAUGGCUCACUGGUACCUGGCUGUCAUCUGUUUUCCUUGCAAGAUUUCAUAGGACCAGUGGUUUGGAUCUUCUCCUCAGUGGGCAAAGGUAUUCAGUGGAGUACCUCUGGGAUCAAUCCCAUGUCUCUCUUCUGCUCUCCAGAAUCCUCAAAGCAGCUCUCC